GUGCUCGCUUCGGCAGCACAUAUACUAAAAUUAGAACAAUAUAGAGAAGAUUAGCAUGGCCCCAACAAAAAAAAAAUUAAAAAAGAAAAGAAAAGAAACUGACUCCA